GUGAGCUCUGAGUCAGGAGUUUCCUCCUCAAUGUGGCUUAUCUCAUCUAGAGAAUAGUUUAAGAGCUCAGUCACCUACAGAGAGUUUUGUGAAGAGCUGCUUAUUUUCCACAGAGAUAAGAAUGAGCUUUGGUGGGUCAGACAUCUGGUCUUCAUCCCUCCCUGGAAAGGUAUUUUGGCCAUGACCAGAGACCCUAUGACCCAGAACUUGCUGGAAAGACCAUCUCUCUUGAAUGGCCAAGCAAUGCGUUCUCUUAAACGAGCUGGGGGAAGUGACUAGGCAGGGUAACGUCUGGCGACCUUUAUUUAGACAGUUGCCCCGUACCCAGAUGAGUGGAAGAAAAUUAGUGAUUGGAUGGGAUAGGUGCAUAUUACUAUCUAGGUGGACAGAACCAAUGGAUGACUCAACACGAUUCAAUUUAUUUUGUUAAACCACCUAUUUUAUUUUAUUUUUUUUAAAUGUCGAGGUUAGUCAAGUAAGCUCCAGUCAUGAUGCCUGUCUCAUAAUGUGUAUAAAUAUCUAUGCAUAUGGCUAUGCUCCAAAGACAACAAGACCCCACAUCCACCUUUUGCAGUAAAGGGCAUCGUUCCAAAGAUUAAGGGGGGCAUAUACAAGACUAUGACUUUAUGAAAUCACAAGUAAAAGUAUUCUUCCUAUCUAUAAACUUUGCAUUUCUAAUUUGUCCGUGGGAGAAAACAAUGGAUAAAAGUAUGAAAUCAUAAAGUGAACAUCAGUUUUCUUGGAACGACCAUGAGCUUGUGGCUAAGAAACAACACUAGUCUAUAUUUUGCAUAUAAUGCCAGUCAUUAAAUGAUUGUCCAAUAAAACAUAUA